UUUUCGCCUGUUUAUCAAAAACAUGUCCUUUUGAUUUUAUUAAUUUAAGGUCAGACCUGCCCAAUGAGUAGUUUAAUGGCCGCGGUAUCCUGACCGUGCAAAGGUAGCAUAAUAACUUGUUCUUUAAUUGAGAACUAGAAUGAAUGGUCAUACGAGAGAUUAACUUUCUUUAUUCUAUUAUAAUGAAUUUUAUUUUUUUGUGAAAAAGCAAAAAUAUUUUUAGGGGACGAUAAGACCCUAUAAAGCUUUAUUUUAUGUGUUUAGUUUAAGU
rnacentral:rRNA from 1 species